rnacentral:tRNA from 1 species
GGUGCGUUAGUUCAGCUGGUUAGAAUGCCUGCCUGUCACGCAGGAGGUCACCGGUUCGAGUCCGGUACGCACCG